UUGAAAGUAAAAAUGAGAGCAAGGAUGAAUUGAUUGAAAUUAAACAUUUACACAGGUUAUAUCGAAAGUUAUAAGAUUAUGACACUUAAUAUUUGUUGUGUGCUACUACUGUUUCUGCGACUAGCGUGGAUAGAAGUAUUCAGCUUUCAAAGUCUGCGGAGCUGCACUACAACUUACAUUGGAAGAGCGGAUCAAACCAAUAAAAUUAAAAACUCAAUAGUCAAGACCAACAAAACUUUAGUCAAAAUAUAACAGCUGACAAAAAAAGUAGUAUAUCUAUGAUUUAAAAACAAGCUACUAAUUCUAUAUCACCAUGUUUUAUUUCAAAGUUCAAUAUAGAAGAAUAUUGCUGAAAAAAACAGAAUGAACUGUCUAGAUCAAUAAUAUCAAUUCUUGCCUUCAUCACCCUUGGAAGGGAAGUAGGUCAAACCACACCUGCCGCAGCUUGUUCUAUUGAAGUGCUGAGCCAUAAAGACUCCUGCUCCGCAUGUUUCUGCUGGACAUUCACGUCGUAGCUUAACCACCUUGUCGCCAUCAACUUUGUAGUACUUGAGUACUGCUAGCUUGACCUUCUUCUUCUUGUGCUUAAUCUUCUUUGGCUUGGUAAAAUUCUUCUUCUUCUUUUUGGCACCUCCCAACAUUGCUUCUGAAACAUACAAUGUAGAAUAGUCAGAAAUACCUGCUUGUUCCAAGGUUUCAAAUUCGUCUAAAAUACCAAAACCGUAGCUGAUACAUUGGGAGUCAAUUGAAAUGCCAGAAAACUCGCUAAUAAUAUGUCUUAAUUCCUUCACACUCAUCGUUGGAUCCACCUCCAACGAUCUGGUGUUACCGAGACCAUAUCUAAAAAAUAUCUGCAUCUUAGAGAGUUACUCUUCAACAAAAAUAUUGAGAUAGCCGAGAAAUAUUCGACCCGAAUAUUAUGAAACUUAAGUCUUAAUUUUGAGACAAAAAUUUAGAAAAAAACCAAUGGCGCAUCGUUACUUUGUACUAUCGGC
rnacentral:antisense_RNA from 1 species